CUGUCUUGAAAAAAAUUUUUUGCACUAAGAUGCCAAAGAAAAUGCUCCUGCGCUUCCUGUCUGUCUCUAUGGCAGUCCAGACUGAAUUGGAGAGUACAUGU